rnacentral:sRNA from 1 species
GAGAACCUCCGGGGGUAAGAGGUUCGACUCGAGCGUAGCGAGAGAACGUUGCGUCAGCAACGGCCCGCAGGGCGAGCCACGCAGUG